rnacentral:lncRNA from 1 species
GUUGGAUCGAGUGUUUGUUUUUGUUCUUUUCUAAAAAAGGGUUGAUUUUAAUCUUGGAAUUAACAAUCGACUAAUACAAUAAAAAUAAACAAAAGCAAUAAAAUUUAUUACACUUUUUCGGAAAUGGGGGUACAGUUUGUCGAAUGGGGAUACAAUACAAUAAUUAAAUCAUAUAAGCUUUGAAAGACAGUUGAGAAAUAAAAGAAUCUCGUUGUAAGAAGGCCCAAGAGAAAGCCAAGGGACUCGAAAUAAAAACCAAAAAUUAAAUUAAAAUAAAUUUAGCGAUAUGUUAAACAAUCGUAAGGCGAUUCAUAUAGGAAUCACCCUAUCUGAGACCGAUUAACAAAACUCUAGGCGAGUAAGAAGUUUCAGAAGUUAAAUUGAAUCUUUAACUUUAAAAUUUCUAUGCAUCCGUGAAAAAUCGAUUGGACAAAUAAAUCAAUUUAUAUAUUUAUUUAAUAAUAAAAAACAAAAACAAAAAA